GACGAACCGUGCGAACGUUGUUCGGAAUCACUGGGCUUAAAGGGCGCGUAGGCGGCGGGUCAAGGCUGUGGUGAAAGGCGUCGGCUCAACCGGCGCAGGGCCGCGGCGACUGGUCCGCUCGAGGGGGGUAGGGGUCGUGGGAACUGCCAGUGGAGCGGUGAAAUGCGUUGAUAUUGGCAGGAACGCCGGUGGCGAAAGCGCACGACUGGACCUUUUCUGACGCUGAGGCGCGAAAGCUAGGGGAGCAAACGGG
rnacentral:rRNA from 1 species